rnacentral:rRNA from 1 species
GCAGUCUGCAACUCGACUGCGUGAAGCUGGAAUCGCUAGUAAUCGCGCAUCAGCCAUGGCGCGGUGAAUACGUUCCCGGGCCUUGUACACACUGCCCGUCAAGCCAUGGAAGUCUGGGGGACCUGAAGACGGUAACCGCAAGGAGCCGUUAAGGGUAAAACAGGUAACUAGGGCUAAGUCGUAACAAGGUACC